UGAGCGAAUGAGUCCCCUGUCUGACCCACCU
rnacentral:piRNA from 1 species